GCCUGGCCCGCGACGCACCGAGGCCUGAGGACCCGAAAGCCGGGCGCGGGGAGAUGACCGGUGGCUCGUGACGGUCCCACGGGCAAAAUCUUCCAUCGCCCGGGGCUGAGACUUGUCAAACUGCCCUCUACGGUCACCCGGAAAGUAGGAGGCUUUUUCUGCAGAGGGGAAAAAAAUCAAAAAGAGCCGUUCCAUCCCCCCUCCAAGGACUGGGUUUGAAUUGCUUUUCAUCUGCAGUGGCUGUGAUUCAGCGUCCCUCUUAGCAGCAGGCAAUGACAGAGGCAGGAGAGGGGAAAAAAAAAAAGAAAGAAAGAAAAAACACAGCAAAUGAAUCAAACGGACCAGGUAGCAGGCAAGAGUGUGGUUAUCGUUGGACCAGGAUUCAGGAUCUGACUGAGUAGCUGACUCUUAAUCCAGUUUGUGUUGAUCACCAGGAGGAUCUGGACCUCAGUAUUACCACAUCUAGAGCUAUAAUCACAUCCCUGUUAAGCCUUCCUGAGAUCACACCAAAUGUCCUUGAUGGGAAUUGUAAACAACCCUUACUUCUGGUUUCUAAUGAUAUUCCAGGAAAGGAGCCUAACUAGAGUCAGUGAUAUGCCAACUCCACCUUUGCCUUCCACCAUGUUUGGAAGCUCCCUGAGGCCUCACCAGGAGCAGAUGCUCGUCCCAUGCUUCCUAUAAGCCUGCAGAACUGUGAGCCAUAAUAAACUGUGAAUUAUAAAUUGCCUUUAUAGCAAUGCAAAUGGACCAGUACAGAUGGGAUGCUGGGAAGACAGUUGUUUCCACCUUCAGUAAAGUCCGUGGAACACAGUUGUGACUAUAUUCUAGGCCAGCCAAGAUGCUUGUACUCAGAAAGGAGUGGUCUCAGGACCAUAAGAAAGUGAAAAAAUAAAAAUAAGAAAAUAAAGAAGGGAUUGUCAAUGAAUCAGAAUUCAUCAAGGUCAAAGUCUUAGGAAAUUCCUUCAUGAGGAAGUCUAGGGGGGCUAUGGAAAUGAAAUUUUUAAACAAAUAGGUAUGUGGUGCUGGCAGGAAUAAAUUAUGGACUUAUGAAUAUAACAUAAGAUUCUUUAUUACCUGGUCUCACCCGUCUUUCCACCUCUGCCCCCCUUCUUGCCCGACUCUGUGUAUCACCCAUAAUAAACUACUUACAGCUUCCUAGUGUUAAAUUUACCCUAAAGCUGCCUCCUUCAAUAUUUUAAGUUUAACCUAAAGGUUCUUCAUACAUAGUGAACUAUAACCCAAUGAUUAAACAGAUUGUAACCUACUCUUGUACCAGUCACCAAGUUUCAGCCAAUCAGAGGUGGCCAACUGUUCAAACCAUGCUCAAAUAAGGGAAAUGUCAUGGUGUAACUAAUCCAGCUGUUUCUAUACCUUACUUCUGUUUUCUUAGGUCACUUUCCUUUUUUGUCCAUAAAUUCUCUCCAACCACUCAGCAGCACUGGAGUCACUCCAAAGCUAUCCUGGUUCAGGGGUCUGUCUGAUUCACAAGUCAUUCUUUGUUCAAUUGAGCUCUGCUAAAUUUAAUUUGUCUGAAGUUUUUCUUUUAACAGAUGGUGUCAGAAAUGGACCCCAAAGUAGAGCUCCCAGUGAUCCCCCAGGAGCACUGAGUGACCACAAGGGGUACCUGCUGGGCCCGUCCUCUCGCAGUGUCCACUGCUCUCUUACAGCAACUGGAGAUUGUGGCUGCAUUCUCUCUCAGAUUCUGAAGCUCCAUACAUUGCCGUUUUCAGCUGUUCAAGCUUGCUUGAGCAAAUUUUUGAUCUUAGCUGAGUUUGGAAGUCGAUAGACAUUGGACUGGGUCCAGGAUUUGAUUGGAUCUGAUAAUUAACUGGCUUGGAUCCAGUUAGAUGCCUCGGUUAUCUGACUGGGUCAGAUAGAAACCGCCAGUAAAUAUUUUAAUAACAAUACUGCAGGGGUAUGAACUCUGGCUUUAAGAAACUCACAAGGAAUUUUAUGUUCUAUACCCUUUGUUUCUUUUUCUUGUGUGCUUCGGUCAGGAAAAAUCAUUAGUCAAGUUAAUCAAGGGGAUCUGAGAGCCAAAUACAAGAUUCAACGUAAAAAUGGAAUCCUUGGGCUAGGCGUGGUGGCUCAGGCCUGUAAUCCCAGGACUUUGGGAGGCUGAGGCAGGCGGAUCACCUGACCUUAGGAGUUCGAGACCAGUCUGGCCAACAUGGUGAAACCCCGUCUCCACUAAAAAUACAAAAAUUAGCCAGGCGUGGUGGUGGGCACCUGUAAUCCCAGCUACUUUGGAGGCUGAGGCAGGAUAAUCACUUGAACCCAGGAGGCAGAGGUUGCAGUGAUCUGAGAUUGCACCACUGCACUCCAGCCUGGGCAAAAGAGCGAGACUCCAUCUCAUAAAUAAAUACAUAAAUAAAUAAAGAAAUCCUUAAUUUCUGCGGAACUGAGUGCUCUACCUUCUGGCUACACCUACGUAUACCUGUAUGAGGUAUAGGCCCUGGAAGCAGCAAACACUUACAGAAAUGGUGAAAUCUUACUAAAGGUAAUCUAAAGUUAUGGUGGAACAUCCCAAAUGAACAACACUGCACUUUAGGAAGUACAUAUAAAAAUGAAGUCUCCCAAUUUAGUAUUAUUCAGGGAUGGCUGUUGAAGUUCAGAAGCUUCUAAAAAGAUUCCAAUAAUUUUACAGAUUCUUUUAAAAGAUUCUUUGUAAAAGGCAAAUAAAAAGCUUAAGUGACUAAUCAGAAAAAUUAGGUCUUCUAACCUUUUGUCAUUGUUACUGUCUUGCCCUGAAAGGGAAAAGAAAGCUGGAUAAAGUAUUUAUAGAAGAUAGAGGACCUGUGGUGGCUCAUGCCUGUAAUCCAAGGUGGAAGGAUUGCUUGAGGCCAGAAGUUCAAGACCAGUCCAAGCAACAUAGCAAGGCCCCAUCUCUACAAAAAAUGAAAAUAAAAUUAGCCGAGCGUGAUGGCUCAUGCCUGUAGUUCUAGCUUCUAGAGAGGCUGAGGCAGGAGGAUUGCUUGAGUCCAGGAGUUCAAGAUUACAGUGAGCUAUGGUCACACCACUGCACUCCAGCCUGGGUGAUGGAGUGAGACUGUCUCAAUAAAAAGACAAAAAGGCUGGCCAGGGGCAGUGGUUCAUGCCUGUAAACCCAGCACUUUGGGAGGCAAAGGCAGGAGGAUUGCUUAAGCCCAGGAAUUUGAGAUCAGCCUGGACAACAUGGUCAAGGAAGCUUUUCCUGAUCCACUAACUAAGGACAAUCAAACCCUUCAUGAUCUAGAAUCUGGAGACUGUGUCUUCUGGGAAUAGUAUCAGAGAAAGACUGCCCUUACUGCCCACAUGUAGCAAAACUUUGAGACGUUGAAUUAUGGGUCCAUAAUCUCACAACUCAGAGGGGCACCUCUAGACUCUUGGAACUGUAUAUCUAUUGGAGACUUUAAGGUAAAGCUGAACAGAGAGACGUUUUUCUCCAGAAGCAGACAGCACCAUAGUCAUGGACAGCUUUCCCAAGAUCACAGAUCAAGACUUCUCUGCCGUCAUGAGACUCAUAACCUCUUAAUUUUUUCUUGCUUAUGCUUCUGUGAACAAUAGAAUUGGAAAAGGGGUGGUCCCGCGUGCACCCAUAGGGUAUACUUUUAUUUGUGGAGGAUUUUGCUGCCAACCUUAUACAUGGGCAAACUUAUGCCUUCAUGGAUGGAAGAUAAAGGGCUAAUAUGGGUUAGAAAUUUUAAUGGUACCUUUGUUUCUCCAUAAUCAUUCAGAAACAGAACACUGGUCCACUCUUGUUAACCUACAUCAUAGGUUGAAGAGAACAUUGCCAGGAGGCCUUCAUCCUUCCAGAUGGGCACCAUUUGUUGGGUCUUUUUCCGUGGUAUGAAGAAAAUGAAGCAAUGAUUAGAAAUUGGUCCCUCGGCCGGGCACAAUGGCUCAUGCCUGUAAUCCCAUCACUUUGGCAGGCCGAGGCGGGUGGAUCACCUGAGGUCAGGAGUUUGAGACCAGCCUGACCAAUGUGGUGAA
rnacentral:lncRNA from 1 species